AUGAGAUGUAGUGUUGACAGGACUCAGCAAGGUUUGCCGUGGAGUUUUGCUCACUGGCCAGCCCGUGCAGUAAUGGAGCCAUGCAUGACACACUGGACUGCAGUUUUGCCAUGCUCUGAACAUUUUUUAUACUGCACUCCAGAUGUUGCUGCCUUUCAUUGGCAGACCUACCCCUCCACACGACAUAUCCCUCACUCUGCUAAAACAGCCCAGCCAGGUUGCAAAGCAUUCACCCUUUACCAGCCUCGAUGGGUGGACACGCAACACAGCAGCAAAAGUUGGACAGCUGCUAGGAUUCAGUACAGGACAUUAGUUACAGCUUCUCUGCCCACCUUUCUCUUUGACCUGGCAAGAAACUGAAUAAGUCAGUGGCAGAGAAUGGAGAACCAAUGCUUGGAGCUCUAAGGUAACAGCAAGUACAGUGGAGGGCAAAUACCUAGGAAUAUUUGGUCAGAUCCAUAGAAAGCAAUAAAGAAGACUUACAGCAUUUUCUGAUCUGAUCU
rnacentral:lncRNA from 1 species